CCUACGGGAGGCAGCAGUGGGGAAUAUUGGGCAAUGGGCGCAAGCCUGACCCAGCAACGCCGCGUGAAGGAAGAAGGCUUUCGGGUUGUAAACUUCUUUUCUCAGGGACGAAGAAAGUGACGGUACCUGAGGAAUAAGCCACGGCUAACUACGUGCCAGCCGCCGCGGUAAUACGUAGGUGGCAAGCGUUAUCCGGAUUUACUGGGUGUAAAGGGAGUGUAGGCGGGAAAGCAAGUCAGAUGUGAAAACCAUGGGCUCAACCUGUGGCCUGCAUUUGAAACUGUUUUUCUUGAGUACUGGAGAGGCAGACGGAAUUCCUAGUGUAGCGGUGAAAUGCGUAGAUAUUAGGAGGAACACCAGUGGCGAAGGCGGUCUGCUGGACAGCAACUGACGCUGAGGCGCGAAAGCGUGGGGAGCAAACAGGAUUAGAUACCCUUGUAGUC
rnacentral:rRNA from 1 species